rnacentral:rRNA from 1 species
CCUACGGGGGGCAGCAGUGGGGAAUAUUCGACAAUGGGGGGAACCCUGAUCCAGCCAUGCCGCGUGUGUGAAGAAGGCCCUCGGGUUGUAAAGCACUUUCAGUGAGGAAGAACGCCUGGUGGUUAAUACCCAUCAGGAAAGACAUCACUCACAGAAGAAGCACCGGCUAACUCCGUGCCAGCAGCCGCGGUAAUACGGAGGGUGCGAGCGUUAAUCGGAAUUACUGGGCGUAAAGCGCGCGUAGGUGGCUUGAUAAGCCGGUUGUGAAAGCCCCGGGCUCAACCUGGGAACGGCAUCCGGAACUGUCAAGCUAGAGUGCAGGAGAGGAAGGUAGAAUUCCCGGUGUAGCGGUGAAAUGCGUAGAGAUCGGGAGGAAUACCAGUGGCGAAGGCGGCCUUCUGGACUGACACUGACACUGAGGUGCGAAAGCGUGGGUAGCAAACAGGAUUAGAUACCCCUGUAGUC